UUCCAGUUCCUUGUAGAAGAUAAUGGGAAGUGACCUGAGCCCAGUGCUGGGGAACACGGCAGUGCUCUUCAAGGCCUCCGCUGGAACAUCUGGUACCUCCCAAGCCAGGCGCUGUACCUGGUCAGUGAGGAAAGUAUUGGCAAAGCCUCGGGACAGCCUCCAGGUCUUUUCAUCCAGACGAGGCUGGCUGCUGGCUUCCAGCAAUAACACAGGGCCUGGCACUUUCUGACGACUCAACACAUGCGCACUGAGUGGAGCUGCCCUCAGGAAUGAGCACAACUGCACCUUUAGUGGAGGCUGUUUUCCUGUCAGCUUGCACCUCCCUGGAUCUGUGUGCACUGUGGAGUACAGGGCCUCACGCUGAGCCCAGAGCAUUCUGAGCAAAGCAGGCAUGUAUGGGAACCAGGAGUUCUAAACGCUUUCCCUUACCCUGUCCCCUUAAUCCUCUUAACAACCUGCAAGGCAAGUCCUUCCACAACUGCAUGUGAGAUGAGUAAUAGCAGUUUUCUGAGGUGGGAUGCCUUGCCAAGGUCACACCUGGAAGACUGAUGCUGAAGAAGCAAGGAGUGUUGAAAAAGCCUUGAGUGACGGAGGACCUAGGAGUGAUAGGAAGCUAGGCGUGAUGAGGGAGGAGCCAGGAGUGAUGGGGAGGAGCCAGGAGUGAUGGGGGAGUAGCCAGGAAUGAAUGAGGAGCCAGGAGUGAUGGGGGAGGAGCCAAGAGUGAUGGGGUAGGAGCCAGGAGUGAUGGGGGAGGAGCCAGGAGUGAUGGGGGAGGAGCCAAGAGUGAUGGGGAGGAGCCAGGAAUGAUGAGGGAGGAGCCAGGAGUGAUGGGGGGAGCCAGGAGUGACGGAGGAGCUAGGACCCUAACCUAAACCUGGAGUAGAGAGAGUGGGAACAUAGGGCUGGGUGUGGUGGCUCACGCCUGUAAUCCAAGCACUUUGAAGGCCAUGGAUCACCUGAGGUUGGGAGUUCAAGACCAGCCUGACCAACAUGGUGAAACCCUGUCUUAAAAAAAAAAAAAAAGAGAGAGCGAGAGUAGGGACAUGAGGAGGUGCAUCCACUGAACGUGUUUGUCUUCCUUUUUGACAUGUUGAGCCUCCAGCAAUAAAGCCUGCCAGAAAAGGGAAUCUACAACCGAAGUCCUUUCCUUCUCUUGGUCAGCUUUGCUGUGUUAAUUCCACGUUCAUGUCAACAUCUGUACAUGAGUGUCUAUGACAACUUUAUUUACAACAGUUAAAACCUAGAAACAACCCAAAUAUCCUUCUACAGGUAAAUGGUUGAACAGUGGCUCAGCCAUACCCUGAAAUACUACUCAGUAACACAAAGUAACAAAUGACUGACCUACACAUCCCCCUGGAUGCAUCUCCAGAGAAUGAUGCUGAGUGGAGCAGCCAUACCCAAAGGUUCCGUGUUGUACCUUCCAUUUAUGCAUAACCUUGAAAUGAUAAAAUUGUAUCCAUGGAGAACAGACUAAGGGCUGUCAGGGCUUAAGGGGGGUGGAGUCCGGGGCAAAUGGGUGUGGCUAAAAAGGGACAGCAGGAGACGUCAUUAUGGUGACAGACAGGCACUAUGCCCCCGGUUCUAGGGUCGGUGUCCUAGUGGUGAAAGCGUUCCAUAGCUUUCCAAGGCGUUAUCACUGGGAAAACUGGGGAAAGGGUAUUUGGGAUCUUUCCGUAUUAUUUCUCAUAAGUUGUAUAUGAAUCUGCAAAUAUCAAAAUAAAAUGCUUUUUUAAAAAAAAACGGCAGGAGAGAUUCUUAGCGUAGAAGUUUGUUGCAUAAGAACUAGAUGCAAGCGGCU
ensembl:lncRNA